AUGUGGAGAGAGCGGGGCGUCUUACCCGCAUCAAUCGAUACCAUGGUGUCGCAUAUACACGAAGGUUAUUCUUCAUUUCAUCCCAAAUUGGUAUACAAAACCUAUAAAUAUGGUAGGGGUGGUAUGACUUUGCAGGAACAUUUCACUCUGGAAAGGCAAGAUGAGCUUGGGUAUUGUUGUGCCAGGUGCCCACUCAUCAAUGCUGGUGAUUGGCCUUGUAUGGCUGCGCCAUCUCUUCCAAUAGAUGUGCUACUUUUGAAAGCGUUAGCGAAUAUCUUAAUGCGGGAGUUUCUAGUGAUAAGAAACAAUCUUCCGUCUAGAUUAUUUUAUUAUAAUGAAAUGUUGGAUUACCACGAGAGGUUCUGGGAUGGUCAAAGUGGUGUAGAGAAAAUAGUCUGUGUGGAUUUGACUCCCAGUAUCCGGUAUGUUUCUACUCCACGUCUAUGGAAUACCUUAAAGUGUCUACACAAUCUGGGUGUGAUUUCCCACAUCUUAAAGGAAUUUCUAUCUCUCCCGAUAUAUAAUGCUGCGACUAACCUCCAAAUUCCUCAUUCGAAUUGUAUACCAUUGAUAGGUGAAUUGAGCGACGUGCUCCUACAUCUCUUUUUUCAACAUCAAUUCGAUAGGGAGGUCCUGAGCCGGUAUGAAGGCGUUCUUUAUACAAGAUGGGACACCAAUGUCCUUCUAGCUUCAACACGCUAUGAUCCAUAUCAUCUUGACCGUCCACAAAUUCUAGACAUCUUAAGGCACGUAAAUCUAAGCGGAUGUAUUUCCGUGAUCGAACAUGGUGGCGGGGGCAUGGUCGUGAAGCCUGAGAAAUCUUAG
rnacentral:rRNA from 1 species